CCCUUAGAUGUUCUGGGCCGCACGCGCGCUACACUGGUGCGUUCAACAAGUUUACAACCUUGAUUGACAAGUCUGGGUAAUCUUUUGAAUGCGCACCGUGCUAGGGAUAGAUUAUUGCAAUUAUUAAUCUUGAACGAGGAAUUCCUAGUAAACGCAAGUCAUCAACUUGCAUUGAUUACGUCCCUGCCCUUUGUACACACCGCCCGUCGCACCUACCGAUUGAAUGGUCCGGUGAAGCCUCCGGAUUGGCGCGCACCUCGGUGCCGCCGAGAAGUUGGCUAAACCUUACCAUUUAGAGGAAGGUGAAGUCGUAACA
rnacentral:rRNA from 1 species